CUGGGAGGUAAGGCGGAGAAAAGCUUUGGAAGUGAGUGUGGUUAAAUACGACUGUAUUUGGAGGAUAGACUUCCUAUUUAGAGAUGGCUGGGGGGGUGGAAUCCAGCCCAAAGCCUCUGGAGGAGAACUGUCUUGUCCCUAAAUAAGAUCAGCUCUGAAAAAUAUGCCAUGGGAAGAAUCAGAAAGCAGAGUGAAGCUCCCAGUCCCUGGACAUUUCCAGUCACUUCUAAUAACUCAAGUGACCCACCAGAGAUCAAGAGGGAGAAAGAGAGGAGACAUUUCUGAUGAAAAGGAAAACAUUGAUAGCACUUAUGGGAGAAGAUAAGGGCAGCGACCAUGGCCAAGAAGAACAAAAGCUGCUGUCAACUGUCAUGAAACUCCAGGAGAUCUGACCUGAAGAAAAAGCAAACCACAGCUUCUGCUUUUACUGAACCCAUCGAGUCAAUGGUGCUCUCUCCUCACCCACAGGUCCCAAAUCAGCCCAGAAUGAUGAAAUGGAAGGUUUGCCAAAAUAGGUGAAAUGAGGUUCUUUCAGCCAGCUUGACCUCCUGGGAAAGCUCUCAUUUUGCAUCAGAAGCAGUGGGACAGGCACAGCUGAGCUGUUGUUUCUUUAAAUCAGCGCUGCAGUUUGAUGUGGGCUGAUGGGGCUGCAUGUGAGCAGGGUGUUAUCUGCAAAUAGCUCAUGAGCCGUCCCGAACAGCGGGCCUGGAAGCAGACCCAACGACUGGCCCUAAUCCUAAAGCCUUCCCCUG
ensembl:lncRNA